rnacentral:ncRNA from 1 species
AGUUAAAUGGCUUGUAGUUGAUCCUGGCACAGGGAAGGGUUUGUUGUCAGGGAGCUCCUGUCUGUCUCUUAGGCCCUCUUUGUUUUCAGCUGUUUCAUUGGGGCUGAAGUAUACAUGUGGAGAAAUUGUAGCAUCCAGAGCAGCUAUAGGCUGCCUGGAUACCGUUGCUGGGAACUGUGGAAUGGGAAUGUGGUUCUGUUUUCUUUUGGAACUUUGUGGAGAAUGAUUAAGUAUAAGGUGGAGGUAUUUGUGUUGCACCUCUAGAGCUCUUAAACCAGUAUAAAUCUUAAACCAGUGUAAGACCAACUGAAGUGAAAACUUUUGCCAAGGAUGUUUUCAUUACUCAAGGAUGAAGGUGAAAUGGGGAGUUUUUAAAAGGGUUAGGUCCUAUGUAGUUUUGACCAUGAAGGUUGGAAAUGCCUUCUAUAGACUCUGCCUGCACU